GUUGGUAAAUUUCGUGCCAGCCACCGCGGUCAUACGAUUAACCCAAGUUAAUAGGCCUACGGCGUAAAGCGUGUUUAAACACUACACCAAAUAAAGUUAAAUUUUAAUUAAGCUGUAAAAAGCCAUAAUCACAAUGAAAAUAAAUAACGAAAGUAACUUUACAACCGCUGAAACACGAUAGCUAAGAYCCAAACUGGGAUUAGAUACCCCACUAUGCUUAGCCCUAAACACAAGUAGUUAUAUAAACAAAACUAUUCGCCAGAGUACUACCGGCAAUAGCUUAAAACUCAA
rnacentral:rRNA from 1 species